rnacentral:lncRNA from 1 species
UUUUAACUGAAGGCUGUUGCCCUACUUAGGGGCUGUCAGCACAUUAAAAUGUUUGUGGAGUCCUGCCACUUGAUCAAGUUCUCUGGUGUGCAGCCUGGUACUCACUUAAAUCAUUGAUGUACUUUUUCCUGUCCUGGUGGCCCCUCAUUGGGUCAGUGCAAUGGUGAACCGUAUUUAGUGGAUUUGGAUUUGACACUGGAUCUGAGUGCUGCACUGGGGCCUGGAAAUAAGAAGGAGGGCUAGGUAAGACUGAGUGCCCAACUUUCAGGGGUCAAAGCCCAGAGGGCACUUUAUCUUUGAUGCAAUAUAAUAUGCGCUCUACAGGAAAUCCGAGCUCAGGGCUAGGAUAGCACAAGACAAUUAUCCUCUCUGUUCUCAGGAACAAGUUGAACAGAGCAAAGCUAUCACCGAUGCCUCCGAUAAUCUAAUAAUUGAUGACCACUAGUAUUUUCGUAGGGAUUGCCUAACGUUACAUCAUUUGCUUUCAUAUUUGCUAGGUCAGGUCUCUCUUCUUACAUAGUCUCUCUUUCAGUACCUGGAAAAGAAGCCACGGCUGGGAAGGUGCCAUCUGAUUUCAGCUGGCUAAUCGGCUUUUCCGGAAAACUUUAAGCAUAAACUCACAGAGCCCUUAAUGAGAAAGCUCAUUAAAAGAGCCGUCUAAAAUGGUGAGACAAAUUACAUGCACAACCCAACCCACUCUUUUCCUCUUGGUUUCCUUCGCUCCCUCCCAGGCUGUGGCAUUAAAAGGACAAGGUGAAGUAAGCCAUCAGGUGGAAAAAAAGACCCUGCCACUCCAAGCAAACCAUCUCUCUACCUCGAUGCUUUGAUGACAUUUUUUUCCUUGCACCACUGCAGCGUUAAAAACGUUCCCCAGACAGCAGGAAGCCCAUGCACAUAUAAUGAUGGCCUUGGGAAUUGAAGAGCCUCCCGAGGCCACGAAGUGGGCAGUUCUCUCCCAGACGCGUGAGCCACCCUCUCUUCUCUCUUUAGGAACUCUAAGUCCCACCAGGGCAGAGUUUUGUCUGUUUUGCUCGCUGUUGCAUUCCCAGAAUCUAGCGUCUGUCUGGCACAUGUGGUGUUUAAUAAAUACGUGUUAAGCGAAUCAAUUCAUCCAUAAAAUAUUUAUGUUUCCAUUGAUUUGAAAGAAAAGGUGGGUGUACUACAGGCCAUGAAGACUUUUGUAGAUAAACGGUGAUAAAGAGCAAUCAGCAUGGAUUUAGGAAGCAUAUUCUGUGUCAGGUAUUUGGCAUACCUGGUAUCUGUGAUCCCAGUCAUUUUAUAAACGGGGAAACUGAGAUCCAGGGAGAAGUCCUUUGGUUGAGAAUGUAGGGCCGGAAAGUGAG